GCCGGGCGCGGUGGCUCAAGCCUGUAAUCCCAGCACUUUGGGAGGCCGAGACGGGCGGAUCACGAGGUCAGGAGAUCGAGACCAUCCUGGCUAACACGGUGAAANUUUCACCGUGUUAGCCAGGAUGGUCUCGAUCUCCUGACCUCGUGAUCCGCCCGUCUCGG
rnacentral:SRP_RNA from 1 species